rnacentral:rRNA from 1 species
GAUGAACGCUGGCGGCGUGCCUAAUACAUGCAAGUCGAGCGAACAGAUAAGGAGCUUGCUCCUUUGACGUUAGCGGCGGACGGGUGAGUAACACGUGGGUAACCUACCUAUAAGACUGGAAUAACUCCGGGAAACCGGGGCUAAUGCCGGAUAACAUUUAGAACCGCAUGGUUCUAAAGUGAAAGAUGGUUUUGCUAUCACUUAUAGAUCGACCCGCGCCGUAUUAGCUAGUUGGUAAGGUAACGGCUUACCAAGGCAACGAUACGUAGCCGACCUGAGAGGGUGAUCGGCCACACUGGAACUGAGACACGGUCCAGACUCCUACGGGAGGCAGCAGUAGGGAAUCUUCCGCAAUGGGCGAAAGCCUGACGGAGCAACGCCGCGUGAGUGAUGAAGGUCUUCGGAUCGUAAAACUCUGUUAUUAGGGAAGAACAAAUGUGUAAGUAACUGUGCACGUCUUGACGGUACCUAAUCAGAAAGCCACGGCUAACUACGUG